CUAGCGGUGCGCCUAACACAUGUAAGUCGUGCGAUCGAGCCGAACUGAGUCUCCUUCGGGAGAUGAUGAUUGGUGACGGAGCGGCGGACGGGUGAGUAACGCGUGGCUAACCUACCCUCUUGACGGGGACAACCACCCGAAAGGGCGGCUAAUACCCGAUGUUGUCUGGAACCGAUGGGUUCCUUUCCAAAGGCGGUCCUGCCGCCGCAAGGGGAUGGGGCUGCGUCCUAUUAGCUAGUUGGUGAGGUAACGGCCCACCAAGGCUUCGAUGGGUAGCUGGUCUGAGAGGACGACCAGCCACAUUGGGACUGAGAUACGGCCCAGACUCCUACGGGAGGCAGCAGUGGGGAAUCUUGGCCAAUGGACGAAAGUCUGAGCCAGCGACACCGCGUGGGGGAUGACGGCCUUCGGGUUGUAAACCUCUUUUCUGGGGAAAGAAUAAGGACGGGAGGAAAUGCCCGCCCGAUGACGGUACUCCAGGAAUAAGCAUCGGCUAACUCUGUGCCAGCAGCCGCGGUAAGACAGAGGAUGCGAGCGUUAUCCGGAAUUACUGGGUGUAAAGGGCGUCUAGGCGGUUCGGUAAGUCGUUUGUGAAAUCCCUCGGCUCAACCGAGGACAGUCUUGCGAUACUGCCGAGCUUGGGUGCAGGAGAGGAGGGUGGAACUCACAGAGUAGCGGUGGAAUGCGUAGAUACUGUGAGGUACCCCGAUGGCGAAGGCAACCCUCUGGCUGCUACCGACGCUGAAGCGCGAAAGCGUGGGGAGCAAAGGGGAUUAGAUACCCCCGUAGUCCACGCCCUAAACAAUGUUCACUUGGUGUCGGCCGCUCAUACUGGUCGGUGCCGAAGCUAACGCGUUAAGUGAACCGCCUGAGGAGUACGGCCGCAAGGCUAAAACUCAAGAGAAUUGACGGGUCCCUGCACAAGCGGUGGAGCACGUGGUUUAAUUCGACGAUAAACGAAGAACCUCACCCAGGCUUGACAUACUAGUGGUAGGAACCUGAAAGGGGGACGACCCUGCCUUCGGGUAGGGAGCUAGUACAGGUGAUGCAUGGCUGUCGUCAGCUCGUGUCGUGGGAUGUUGGGUUCAGUCCCGAAACGAGCGCAACCCUUGUCGUUAGUUGCCAGCGGGUAAUGCCGGGGACUCUAACGAGACUGCUGGUGAAUAGCCGGAGGAAGGCGGGGAUGACGUCAAGUCAUCAUGUCCCUUAUGCCUGGGGCGACACACAUGCUACAAUGGGGGGUACAGAGGGUCGCAAUCCCGUAAGGGGGAGCCAAUCCAUAAAAGCCCCUCUCAGUUCGGAUUGAGGUCUGCAACUCGACCUCAUGAAGGUGGAAUCGCUAGUAAUCGCGGGUCAGCCAUACCGCGGUGAAUAUGUACUCAGGGAUUGUACACACCGCCCGUCACACCAACCGAGUGGGGGGUACCUGAAGUCGCUCUUUUAAGGGCGCCUAAGGUAACUUCCGCAAGAGG
rnacentral:rRNA from 1 species